rnacentral:rRNA from 1 species
UACGGAGGGUGCAAGCGUUGUCCGGAAUUAUUGGGCGUAAAGCGCGCGCAGGCGGUUCCUUAAGUCUGAUGUGAAAGCCCCCGGCUCAACCGGGGAGGGUCAUUGGAAACUGGGGAACUUGAGUACUGAAGAGGAAAGCGGAAUUCCACGUGUAGCGGUGAAAUGCGUAGAGAUGUGGAGGAACACCAGUGGCGAAGGCGGCUUUCUGGUCAGUAACUGACGCUGAGGCGCGAAAGCGUGGGGAGCAAAUAGG